GAGGGGAGCGGCAGGGAUGCGGAGAGGAGCGGCAGGGAUGCGGAGUGGGAGGAAGGGACACAGAGGGCGGCCGAGGUGGCUCCGUCCCCUCGCGGUGUCGCCCGGGGAGGAAGGGACGCAGCCCUGCAAUUCGGCGGUGCCGCAGCCUUUAAUUGUGUGGGACAACAGCUGCUGCUCACUGCACGGACUCUGAACGAGCGCUUGCAGCGGGUCCGGCCAAGGCUGCCCCUCAGUUUAUUUUAGCAUCUCAAGUGCUCUCCUUCCCUGUCCCGCUCUCUGCGCUGCUCAGCAGCACCGGCCUGCGCCACCCUGUGCAGAGCCAGUGUCCCUGUCCUGACACGUGUGACAGCAAAGUGACCGCAGGGCUGCUGCCCCAUCACGCUGCUUUCCAGUAGCACCAACUUUUUAUUCCGAGCUUUCCCUUUUUGCUCUGAGCUUUCCCUUUUUGCCCUGAGCUUUUCCUUUUUGCUCUGAGUUUUUCCUCCCGACUUCUGCACUUGGCUUAUGGCAGAAGAAAGUGUUAUUUCAAUUUGCCAAUGGGCAGGAGGAAUCAUGUAAAUGCAUCCGGCUUCUGCAAGAGGUUCGUGUCAGAGCCGGGGAUCAAGCUCUGGGAUGACAGGACCGAAUUCACCGGACAGCUCUUACUUCCUUGUUUAUUAAACUAUCCAGUAAUAUAAAGAUACAUUAGUAACAGAUGUGAACCAGAGCUGGAAAACACUUAGAGUUCAGUGGAUGUUCCUCCUCUGUUUCUGUUCCAACUCAGAUCUGAAUGAGAUACCAGAUGAGGAAAAGAAAAAGCUCUUCCCUCAUUGUCUUCCUUCAUACAAAAAUAAAUAGAAGUUGGAUUGGAAAAGAUCUGCCAUGGUCCAAGUCUUUCUACAGGAGCAAGACAAGUGUUAAGGGGGCAGGGUGGCAGUGCUGAGGAGAAAUGAGAACCUAAUUCCCUCUAAGAAGUGCCAGUUGCAGGCACUCAGGAGCAGAUCUCAAAAAAGUUUCAUUGCAUAUCACGGAAAAAAAAACCAAAAAAACAAACAAAAAAAAAAAAAACCAGAAAAAAAAAAUAGAAGGCAGAUAUGAAAGCAGUAGUGUGGUUUAUGCUUUACUUCUUAAAAGCAAAGGCUUUAAGGCUUCUCUCUCUGCUGGGUUUGCAUAAUUUAGAGGCAUUAGCUUUUUCUAUCCUCCUAAGAGAGCAACUGAUGUGUAUUUUGCAUCUGGGGAAAUGUGUGUUAGUCUCGAGGCCUGACAUUUGUUUUGUGUCUAUGGAAUUCACCCUGCAUGGGGCUGUCAAAUUAAAUACGAUAACUGGCUUUUCCAAAACAGCAGAUAAUUUAUUGGUCAUUAAAAUCCCAGUGGCUGUGCUGCCAGCUUGUGCUGAAGCCUCUUAUUGGUGAAGAAUUCAGUAAACAUUAAUCAUGGACACAGGCAAAGAUUUCAGAGGGUUGAGACCCAAAUCUGGUCCAGGAGUGCUCCAGUUGCUGUUUUUUAUGUCUGCUCACUGUGCUUCAUAAUGUUGAUGAGGUUUUGGGUGGUCUUUUCCUACCCAAAAUGGAUUUUGAAAGCCUUAGUCUUUAAUCCUGUCGUUCAAGGGCCACCUUGCUUUGUCAUAAGCAAUGGAUUUUUGGCUGUUGUGGCUGGCAUGGUGUAUUUUCUCAAUAUUUUGCCAUUUGUGCUGAUCAAAAAAUGUGCUUAUGAGUGUUACCCUGGCACAGGAAAUGAGAUCAAUGAGUGCAGUCCAUCAGGUGGCUGACUGCCUGGAGGAUGGGGGUUCCUUUUCUGCCUUUCCAUUUUAUGAACAUUUGAGAGAAGGGAAGCAAGCUGGGGUCUGAUCCUUGAUGAUCUGUGAGCUGUCAGUCUGAAUUCAGGUUCAUUCAGCAGAAAAUCUGGAGAACUCUCCCAUCCAUCAGAGGAAAGUGUUCUUAGGUUUCUCCCUCUUGCCUCGUGGAGGAAGAACAAUCCCAGCACAAGGAGAUUGCUUUCUUAUGGGAAUUAGUGGCUGAAAUGAAGUUGAGGGAAACUCACUCCUCUUGGUACACUCCUUUCCUACAGAUGUGUGGGACAUAUCUGGCUUAGCUCCCUGAUUUUAUUUUUACUUAGGAAGAUGUCACUAGUGGUCCACAACAAGAAUUUUGGUUCAUUUAUGGUCUAGCCUGUAGUCAGAGCUUUGGACUGCAGUCUGAGCUUUGGACUCCCCUUCUUCACCAGAAACCUUGAUGGCUGAGGAGCAGAUAAGGAAAUAGGAGUGUGAACAGCUUGAAAUGCCAAUGAAGCCACAUGUUCUUAAGUCAAAACACAAUCCUUAACCAUCUUCAGGAUUGAUUAACAGAAGUUCAUCCAGGCAGUUACAGCUGACAGAAGAAUUUUAGAAAGACUCACAAUUUCAAGUACCACUAAACAAUACUUUACAGGGUUAAAAAGAUGUACCCAGGUGCUGCCAAAGUCCAGAGAAUUCUUUCUGCCUGGUCUGGAGGUGCUACUUUUUCAUGUCAAGCACUUUCACUGGCUUAUUUUUUCAUCCUGGAUACUUCUGGUGUGUUUUCUGAAGGUGUCUUUUUUGUAAAAUCCAAUGCCAUUUGAUUCCUGAAAGGUGGGAGAGAGGACUGGUGUGACCCUGCAGGCCUGACAGCUAACAUGUGAAGAACACGAGCAAGAAAGGAGCUGAAGUUGUGGGUUGUUGUUUUUUUUGUUUGGGUUUCGAUUUGUUUGUUUGUUUUGCUUUCCUUUUGAAGCUGGAAAUCCCAUUAUAGAUGGCAAUUCUGUAGGUUUCAACAACUUCCAAAAUGAGACUUGAGUACAGGGUUUGUUGAGAUUCAUGAGAGAUGAAAAACAAGACACAGAUUCCAGAAGGCCCCUUAGGAGUCUCUGAAUCCUGCAGAGCUCAUUUCAUCUUCUGAGCACCUCUGUGCAGCUGAGUCCCAAACUGUGGAGCACAUUGUGCCACUGGUGGCAUGGAUGAGAGAACAGACCCCUCUGGAGCAAUUCCUGCGUUCCAUCUGGUAAAGGACAGAGUUUAUCUGAAGAAUAUCCUUGCAGAGAAGGAUGAAAUAUUGAGACUUUUCUGUUGUCUCCAGACUGAAACACCAAAACAACAGCUCACUGGUGACCUUGAGACAAAACAAGGAGACAAGAGAAGCUCUUUUUGGUGAAGUAACACUGAUGAACAGAGCAGAAAUGGUUUCAGCUUGAAAAGACAUUUUAACUACCCUGUACACAACCAAAAACUGGGGAUUUGGUUUCAUGAUUCUGGAGGGCUUUAAUUUAAGGAAAGGAGACUCAUCUGGGUGCUGCUCUGGUGUCAGUGGAGACAAGGAAGGUAACUCAGAACACCUGCAGAGCCUGGUUCUUGGUGUAACAGCAGCAAAUCCUAAUCCCUGCUUACAGAGGGAGCAGAUGUAUUCAGCCUCCCUGUGUAAUUUCUUGGAAUUAAUGCCUUUGCUUGUUGAGACUCAUCACUCCCUUAGGUGUGCCAGAUGGAAGAACAAUGACUGCUGUUUUAAAGGGAUGUGGUUUUGGUUUUGGCCACUGAUCCUUCAAAGCAGGUAAUUACUCAAAUGUAUCCCAAGUUGUGGAUUUGUCCACUGCUGAAAAAUUAAUUCAUUGCUCCUUUGGCUGUUCUGAAGACCUGAAUGGCAGAGUUGAAGGCUUUGAAAAUGUGGAGAGUCCAAUGUUUCUCAAAGAUUAGAAGAAUAUACUGUUUUACUUUGCAGAAAGGAAUGAUGGUUCCAGUUUUGAAAUUCUUUAAUGAUGGCAAAUAAUGAGGAGACUUUUUCAGUGACUGAAUAUGAGUGAAUAUUUUUUAUAAUACUAUGGCAAAAAUGGAUUUUAUGCUUGUUGAAGGUUGAGAUAUUACAUUCAUUGAGAUUACAGGUAAAUCAUGGCAAAGUGAAAAAAAUGGAAGGCAAUUUUAUUCCACAGUAGAAUUUAUCUCUCCAGUAUUUCUUGGUUUGAUUUUUACUAAGUAGAAUUAAUGUCAGCUAUGAAAAUGAGUGAGUUAUGUUUUUUCUUCUGUAAAAAAUUUCACCUUUUUAAGAUUUGGGAAAGGGAGGGGGUGUGGGCACACACAGAGGCUGGGUUUGGAGACAAAACUGAAUUUUGACCUGAAUUCAGGUAUUUUACAGCUCUACUGCUCCUUAGAGCUACAGGUAGAGCUCACUUUGGCAAGGAAUAGGAAAUGUGGUCCUGGAGCUGUGGUCUUUGCCAAUAGGCAAGCUUUGCUGAUUUCUGAUAGCCUUAAUUGGUCCUAAAGGCUUCAGGAGACAAUUGCUGGGAGCCAAGUGCUCCAAAGGUGGAUUAUCUGCAACUUUGUCCUUCAGGGUGAGGCUUGGUGGAAAAGGCUGAGUUCCAGGGGGGAAAUAAUCAUUUGCAUCAUGUAAUUAAGAAAUGUAUCACUGGGUAUACACCUAGUGAAGGUGAAUGAUGGA